UACGGAAGGCAGCAGUGGGGAAUAUUGCACAAUGGGCGCAAGCCUGAUGCAGCCAUGCCGCGUGUAUGAAAAAGGCCUUCGGGUUGUAAAGUACUUUCAGUCGUGAGGAAGGUGUUAAGGUUAAUAACCUUAGCAAUUGACGUUAGCGACAGAAGAAGCACCGGCUAACUCCGUGCCAGCAGCCGCGGUAAUACGGAGGGUGCGAGCGUUAAUCGGAAUUACUGGGCGUAAAGGGCACGCAGGCGGUUAAUUAAGUUGGAUGUGAAAUCCCCGGGCUUAACCUGGGAAUGGCAUUCAAGACUGGUUAGCUAGAGUCUUGUAGAGGGGGUAGAAUUCCAUGUGUAGCGGUGAAAUGCGUAGAGAUGUGGAGGAAUACCGGUGGCGAAGGCGGCCCCUGGACAAAGAUUGACGCUCAUGUGCGAAAGCGUGGGGAGCAAACAGGGAUUAGAUACC
rnacentral:rRNA from 1 species